rnacentral:lncRNA from 1 species
AGAGCAGUCUGACCUAACUGGGGGAACAAGACCAAAAAGUAUUAGAGAGCAUCUCAUCAAUCUCUAGUGCCAUUGUUCUGGGAGAAAAUUGCCAUUUGCUGGUUUAAUAUCUGGUAGAGGUAUGGUAUUUUCAAAAGUAUAAUGUGUAACUACAGUAUAUAUAGUCAGCUUCUCUGCAGUGUAAAAUGUAUGAUUUUAGCACCAUAUUGUGGAAAAAUAUGUACCGUGCAGAAUUCACGAGGUGCUACAACUGACGGUUGAAAAUACACACUUGCAAAAUCCAAAAGAGCCGUUAAGUAACAAGUUGUUCUUUUCCCCAUAUGUCCAUAUGUUUGGGAAAAAUUAUGAGUCUGAAAUGCUCUUGACACGUAAUUGCCUCGCGCUCCCUCAUCCAAAAUGUGCCAGUCCAGCAGUGAAGUUACUGACGUAGUGGGUGUGAAGGGAGAGUUUGGGUUUGCCCCAGGAGCAGUGUGCAGUAAGCGUGCGUGCGAGCAGGAGUCGGGACAAGGGGAGAGCGGCCUGCUCUCACAUGAACCUGCAAGCUUUGGUUUCCUGAGCUGGUGGCGUGCAGCCUGCCUUUCUGGCUCUGGCACGGGGCCAGCCGGGCCCAGCAGUUGAAAGAUUAAGAGAUAGAAAAAGAGCCUGUGGAUUUUCUGAGUGACCACCCACUAGUGAGCCGUGAUCUUGGCUUGCAAGCUGACAUUACCACUGUGAUAUAUUAUGAUGCGGAAGUCUCUAGGCACCCCUCGAAUGCAUAAAGAAAUAUCAAUUGCCCUUUGCGGGGGAAAAAAAAAAGGGGGGGGGGAACUAAGCAUUAAACAAAAAAUAAAGGCUUCUGCCUUUUAAAAGUGCAUGCAGCCCUGAAUUCCAAUUCACUCCAGCUUCCUGAUCUACAAAUAGCUUCACGUGCUGCCUAAUUUUUUUACAGAUGAAUUGUGCUACCUCCUCCUCCCAGCCAUCACAGAUUUGUUUAUCAGAGAGUUAGUGCUGUGAGUGAAUCCUGCCGGCUGCUCUGCCAGGGCCACAUCCUGACACUGCUCUGAGCAGGGGCUGCUUUGCACUUCCAGAAGGCCCUCCACCUUUCCAUCACAGUAGUUAUGUAGAGUCUCUAAGCCUUAGGUGCAGAAUUGGAAGCACUAUUCACUAUCUGCACAGGAGAGAAGGCUUUUUAAGACAUUGUUCUGUUAUUGUGAGGGAGAGAGUGGUGUUUGUGAUCCUGACAAUAUC